UACGGGGGAUGCAAGCGUUAUCCGGAUUUAUUGGGCGUAAAGGGUUCGUAGGCGGCAUCUUAAGUCAUUCGUGAAAACCCCGAACAUAAUUCGGGGAAGGCGAAUGAAACUGAGAUGCUUGAGUUUGGGAGGGGUAAUGGGAAUCCUUAGAUGAGGGCUAGAAUCCGCAGAAACUAAGGAGAACACCGGAGGCGAAAGCGCAUUACUAGAACAAAACUGACGCUGAGGAACGAAAGCUAGGGGAGCAAAACGG
rnacentral:rRNA from 1 species